rnacentral:pre_miRNA from 1 species
UAUCCCCAUGCUACAGGGUCCAGUUGCUGGCCAUAAUACCCUAUGGGUCAAUGGUGGUCCCUGUGUUUUGGG